UACGUAGGGGGCAAGCGUUGUCCGGAAUUAUUGGGCGUAAAGAGCUUGUAGGCGGUUUGUCGCGUCUGCCGUGAAAAUCCGAGGCUCAACCUCGGACUUGCGGUGGGUACGGGCAGACUAGAGUGUGGUAGGGGAGACUGGAAUUCCUGGUGUAGCGGUGAAAUGCGCAGAUAUCAGGAGGAACACCAGUGGCGAAGGCGGUGCUCUGGGCCGGAACUGACGCUGAGGAGCGAAAGCGUGGGGAGCAAACAGG
rnacentral:rRNA from 1 species